UGAUCCAGCAAUGCCGCGUGUGUGAAGAAGGCCUUCGGGUUGUAAAGCUCUUUUGUCCGGGAAGAAAACGUGCUGGUUAAUACCGGGGGCGCAUGACGGUUCCGUAACAAUAACCCCCGGCUUACUUCGUGCCAGCCGCCGCGGUAAUUA
rnacentral:rRNA from 1 species